ACGGCGACAAGGGAAGGAAGAUCUCUGUCGAUAGAUUCGAGCUCUCCUCGGAGGAAAGGACGGGCUGAUUCCAAAAGGGUAUGGAGAUAUGGGCUCUGAGUUGCGGAAGGCAUUUUUGGCUGCUAAUUAGGGCGGAGAAAGAAACUAUAGGCUUAUAAUGGCCACAGAGCUCUGCUUUACAUACAUAUGGGAUUAUGGGUGAGAGACGUAUAAGAGAGGAUGUUGGUGGUUGUCAUUAUCAAUCUACUUUUUGUUCUUUUCUCAUAAAAGUAUACGGAAAAUUUUAAUUUGAACGAGA
rnacentral:lncRNA from 1 species